rnacentral:rRNA from 1 species
AUACGGAGGGUGCAAGCGUUAUUCGGAAUCACUGGGCGUAAAGGACGCGUAGGCGGGUUUGUAAGUCAGGUGUGAAAUCCUACAGCUUAACUGUAGAACUGCACUUGAAACUACAGACCUAGAGUAUGGGAGGGGCAGAUGGAAUUAGUGGUGUAGGGGUAAAAUCCGUAGAUAUCACUAGGAAUACCGAAAGCGAAGGCGAUCUGCUGGAACAUAACUGACGCUAAGGCGUGAAAGCGUGGGGAGCAAACAGAAUUAGAUACCCGAGUAGUCC